AUUGAACGCUGGCGGCAGGCUUAACACAUGCAAGUCGAGCGGAGCGAGGGUGCUUGCACCUUAGCUUAGCGGCGGACGGGUGAGUAAUGCUUAGGAAUCUGCCUAUUAGUGGGGGACAACAUUCCGAAAGGGAUGCUAAUACCGCAUACGCCCUACGGGGGAAAGCAGGGGAUCUUCGGACCUUGCGCUAAUAGAUGAGCCGAAGUCGGAUUAGCUAGUUGGUGGGGUAAAGGCCUACCAAGGCGACGAUCUGUAGCGGGUCUGAGAGGAUGAUCCGCCACACUGGGACUGAGACACGGCCCAGACUCCUACGGGAGGCAGCAGUGGGGAAUAUUGGACAAUGGGCGGAAGCCUGAUCCAGCCAUGCCGCGUGUGUGAAGAAGGCCUUUUGGUUGUAAAGCACUUUAAGCGAGGAGGAGGCUACUAGUAUUAAUACUACUGGAUGGUGGACGUUACUCGCAGAAUAAGCACCGGCUAACUCUGUGCCAGCAGCCGCCGCAGUAAAAC
rnacentral:rRNA from 1 species